GUACACUCCUGCGGGAGGCAGCAGUGGGGAAUAUUGGACAAUGGGCGCAAGCCUGAUCCAGCCAUGCCGCGUGAGUGAUGAAGGCCCUAGGGUUGUAAAGCUCUUUCACCGGUGAAGAUAAUGACGGUAACCGGAGAAGAAGCCCCGGCUAACUUCGUGCCAGCAGCCGCGGUAAUACGAAGGGGGCUAGCGUUGUUCGGAUUUACUGGGCGUAAAGCGCACGUAGGCGGACUAUUAAGUCAGGGGUGAAAUCCCGGGGCUCAACCCCGGAACUGCCUUUGAUACUGGUAGUCUUGAGUUCGAGAGGGGUGAGUGGAAUUCCGAGUGUAGAGGUGAAAUUCGUAGAUAUUCGGAGGAACACCAGUGGCGAAGGCGGCUCACUGGCUCGAUACUGACGCUGAGGUGCGAAAGCGUGGGGAGCAAACAGGAUUAGAAACCCCAGUAGUCCCAU
rnacentral:rRNA from 1 species